GCGCCCGUAGCUCAGCCCGGAUAGAGCGUCGGACUUCGAAUCCGCAGGUCGCAGGUUCGAAUCCUGCCGGGCGCGCCA
rnacentral:tRNA from 2 species